rnacentral:lncRNA from 1 species
AUGCCCGGGAGCCCCUGCGCCACCCAGCUCCAGGACCCCGGCCGGGAGCCCACCAGCAGGUGCUCGGGGCCGCCCCGGCGCGCACCUGCACCCCUGCAGGACCCCGCACAUCCAGCGCGCCCCGUGCACACCUGUACCCCCGCAGGACCCCGCAUAUCCAGCGCGCCCCGUGCACACCUGUCCCCCGCAGGACCCCGCACAUCCAGCGCGCCCCGCGGACACCGGUACCCCCACAGGACCCCGCACAUCCAGCGCGCCCCUCGCACACCUGCCCUCCGCAGGACCCCGCACAUCCAGCGCGCCCCGUGCACACCUGUCUCCCCGCAGGACCCCGCACAUCCAGCGCGCCCCGCGGACACCUGUACCCCCACAGGACCCCGCACAUCCAGCGCGCCCCAUGCACACCUGUCUCCCCGCAGAACCCCGCACAUCCAGCACGCCCCUCGCACACCUGUCUCCCCGCAGGACCCCGCACAUCCAGCGCGCCCCGUGCACACCUGUCUCCCCGCAGGACCCCGCACAUCCAGCGCGCCCCGUGCACACCUGUCUCCCCGCAGAACCCCGCACAUCCAGCACGCCCCUCGCACACCUGUCUCCCCGCAGGACCCCGCACAUCCAGCGCGCCCCGUGCACACCUGUCUCCCCGCAGGACCCCGCACAUCCAGCGCGCCCCGUGCACACCUGUCCCCCGCAGAACCCCGCACAUCCAGCACGCCCCUCGCACACCUGCCCCCCGCAGGACCCCGCACAUCCAGCGCGCCCCGUGCACACCUGUCUCCCCGCAGGACCCCGCACAUCCAGCGCGCCCCUCGCACACCUGCCCCCCGCAGGACCCCGCACAUCCAGCGCGCCCCGCGGACACCUGUACCCCCACAGGGCCCCGCACAUCCAGCGCGCCCCGCGGACACCUGUACCCCCCGCAGGACCCCGCACAUCCAGCGCGCCCCGUGCACACCUGCCCCCCGCCCCCCGCGGGACCCCGCACACCGGCCCCCCGCGGGACCCCGCACACCUGCCCCCCCCCCCCCCCCGCAGGACCCCUUGCACGCCCCGCCUGGAGGGCAGCAGCUGCAGAGCGGAGCCGCCCCCCCCUCAGGGCCGCCUGCGGACGGGGCUGCGGGGUCCUCCGCGGGGCACCCACCCGCCCGCCGAGCGCACCUGCGGCGCCGCGGUCCCGCCCGCCCCUGA